UGGCACAGCAAUCAAGAGUCACUGCCGACAGGGAUUCCCAAGGAGGGAGGAGAGCACAUGUGGUCCCUGGGUCUUGCUGUGUGAUGCCUGCAUUAGCUCAGGACACUCUCAGCAAGGUCAUCCCAGACAUAGCCCUUUGACCUUGGACCUUCAGAACUGUGAGUCAAAACAAACCUUUUCUAGUUAGCCUGCCUUAGGUAU
rnacentral:lncRNA from 1 species